rnacentral:rRNA from 1 species
CCUACGGGAGACAGCAGUGGGGGAUAUUGCACAAUGGGGGGAACCCUGAUGCAGCGACGCCGCGUGGGUGAAGGAGUGCUUCGGCAUGUAAAGCUCUAUCGGCAGGGAAGAAGCAAGACGGUACCUGACUAAGAAGCCCCGGCUAACUACGUGCCAGCAGCCGCGGUAAUACGUAGGGGGCGAGCGUUAUCCGGAUUCACUGGGUGUAAAGGGAGCGUAGACGGCCAGGCAAGCCAGGGGUGAAAGCCCGGGGCCCAACCCCGGGACUGCCCUUGGAACUGUGCAGCUAGAGUGCGGGAGGGGCAGGCGGAAUUCCUGGUGUAGCGGUGAAAUGCGUAGAUAUCAGGAGGAACACCAGCGGCGAAGGCGGCCUGCUGGACCGCGACUGACGUUGAGGCUCGAAAGCGUGGGGAGCGAACAGGAUUAGAUACCCCUGUAGUC